AAAAUAAACAUUUGCAUUUUAUUACUUUCUAAUCGCACAAACUGAAAUCAGGAAAAACCUGAUUGGAUUUUUUACAACUUUAAAGGUGUAAGGAAUAGAGCGAUUUCGAGUUUGAGUCUCUUCAUUUUCCUAUUCUAAAGUUAUUCAACUUGAAAUAGAAAGCGAGCUAUCUUUUACUGUGUAACCCACCAAUUGUUACCAAGCCCAUUAUGCCUCCAUUGAAUCCCAAAAACAAACCCACUUGAAUUUUACAUGCAAUUUACAUAGCAACUGUAGCUGGAAAUUGAAUAUAAACAAAUUCAGGUCUCCACACCUUCACACAAAGAGAGGAGGAAAAGCCUAGGAAUAUCUUCAGUUUAAGAUACAGCACUUGCCCUGGUGCAGUCUUCAAACAACGCUACGUGCAUUCAUUCAAGCAAACAGCCUAAGACGGCUAGUAAUAGGCCGGCGGCAUAUGGGGCAAUUUGACACCCUUGAUGCGCAGUCUCUACAAGUCAUGUGUCCGCAACCGAAGGCCAAGUCCUUGCCAUUAGUCAGGCAAAUAGGGCAGGCCUGGGUUCUCUCAUCUACAACGGUGGAAGAUACAUUGCUCGAUUGAUGGUCUGGCAGUGGAUGACGAACGUAAGGAACUGGCGGAGGGCGUGCUACGAUUUUCUUCGCUCUUCCUGUAGUACAACCAAUUAUACCAAAUUCACGAGCUGCUAGGUACUGGAAGGGGAUCUCCAUUAGUGCAGCGAGAGCAAACUCUGUUUCUUUCUCAGAGGUAGUUGUAUUUUUGGACAUAAUUGCAGUGAAGUUAACAAACUAUACAUAAUAUGGAAAACAGGUAAAUAAAGGAACAAUAUAUGUAAAAUUGCAAGCAAAUUAGAUGGGGUUCAAAAUAAAGUUUCAUCAAAAUAGCAAUACCUGAAAAUUGUCAAAUUCACGCGCUGGGAUUUUGUCAUCAAAUUUCUUCAUGUCAUCCCAAGGUCCAUCACCAACCCCAACAAGAAUUAUCGACAGUGGGUAUGAACUAGAUGGAAAUAAAAGUUGCAAACAUAUUUAGGUCAAACAUGCAUAAACUCAAAUUGUAACAUCAUUUUAAAAUCUGAUGACUCGCUCAUCAAAUCCGAUUAUUCUGAGCAACAAAGAAGUCUAUUGAAGGAAAUAAAAAUCACGACAAGAGUAGCAUCAACUUGCAAUAAUUCAAUUUAUUUAAGGGGCACAGUCAUUGAAAGCCCAAGUUACCCUUCUUUUUUUUUGUAGUAUACGAUAUACCGCUUAUUUAAAUAAUUUUAUUUGCAUAUAAAUGAGUAAAAUAGGAAAAUCAACAUUCAUUUUACUUCAUUUUAACUAAUGGAAUUCAAAUAAAAUUCUAUAAUUUUAAAAUCUAUUCCAACCACGGCUUCUAUUAUAAAAUUAUUUGAAUUGAAUUCUAACAUAAGAGUUGUUUUAAACACAAUGUAUAUUAUUUCAUUAACCUUCCCCCCUCGAUACUCAUCCAUGGACUAUUAAACAUUUUUGUACCACAAAUAUAGUUAGUAUCAGUUGUUGACAGUACCAAGAAAUCAAAUAAAAACAAAUAGAUAAUCAAUAGGAACCUCAUGCCAAAUAUAUUUGUUUACAAUGCAUGAUAACUUGUAUUAUGUCACAUUUUUGGCAUCUGAUGAACAUUAUAUUGGCAGAGAUUGAUAAUCAUAGCAUGUGAAAACAUAGUUAUAAUAUGAAUUGCCAGAGUUAAUUAGCAACUACAGUGAAUGUGAUUAAAAAUUAUCUUGCUGCUGCAAGCAAUGGCUUUUUAAAAUACUCAAUUGUGAUAGUUUAGUAAGAAUAUUUUCAUUCUUGGAACCAUAAGCAAUUUUAAAUGUUGUUUUUUUAACUAACUGAAGCUAUAUUCUGCAGCUAAGGUAUAUAUUCGACAAAAUAUGUCUAUGUACAAGGCUGAACCUAGCAUCCACAAUUGACUGGAUUGUUUUCUCUUCCUGUGGGCUUAGCUCCCCAGCACCUGUAUUGACACUUCUUGUAACCUUCACAAUUAAAAAAAGAUCAUGUUGAAUAUACAUAAUGUGAGAGAGAGUGAGAAGAGAGGGCAAGUGACUAAAUGAGCUAGCUUUGGAUUGAAACCUGGCCAUCUGCUAUGAUAACCAACACAUGGUAUUGGCCUCCGCUUCUUUCCACAAUGUCCAUCGCAGCCUCAAUCACCGGUGCAUAAGAAGUUGGCCCUUAACACAAUUACAUUUAUCUGUGAAUCUGUGAAAUAAGCAUGCAGGACUCACAAAAAAUUAUAAACACAAUGUUUAAUAAGAGUUUUUAAUUAAAAACCAAUGUAUUGUUAGUUUUCUUGGUUGAGUAUUGUGUGUGUGUGUGUGUGCGUGUAUUGGAUGAAUUAUGCUUGUAAUAAAAGAAUCUUACAGAAGGUUAGAGAUAAAUUGGAUUAGGAAAAUAAUAGCAAAGAUAGACGAGAACUAAUAAUUACUUUUUAAGACAUUAAGGAGAAGGAAAAUCUUGUGAUUGCCUCCUAUCACCAGUGGAUUUGUAACAUUAACUGUAAUGCAACAAUCCCAGAUUGCAUAUAAGCAUUUGGACAGUCCAUUAGUUGGGGAGAUAAAUGCUCAAUUGCUCAAUUUAACCCUUUAGCUAUGACUCAAAAGUUAAAGUUAUUUUGCUUAAAUUUGAUUCAUUUAAGCCAACUAUUUGAAAUUGAGUAAUUCAACCCUGUCAUUAACACCAGUAGUCUUUGCCACACAUGCGCAGUUAGAUUUUGGUAAUUAAACAUCUGACAAAUAAAAUUACCUUUUCUUUAUAUAUAGGAUAGCGACAAAAAAGUGAAGGGUCUUGUUUGAGAGAAGCCAGUAAAAACUUCUUUUUCAAGAAAUUUGGAUUUAUUAAAAUUUGAAACUUGAUGAGCGAAAAUUUUAAUUUUUUGUUUAAAUUUGACUCCUUUUGAGUUUUUUUUUUUAGGUCAAACGACAAUAACAAGGGAGUUGAUUUCAUCGGGGAAAAAAAGUACAACAAUGGAAAGCUAAAUCAGAAGCUCUCGAAGCAACAAAGACUGAAAAACAAAUCCUAACCCGGCAUAAUCUAAUAUUCAAUUAAAAUAUUUAAAAAAAGCAUGAAAUUAACUAUCCAAGAUAUAGAGAGAUGUAUUGAAAAGGUCCCAAUUUUUCACACACUAUACAUAUAGAUCAUGAUCCAUAGAUGUUUAAGUCCAUUUCCAUUCUUCUGUUUUCAACAAAAACAAAAUAUAGCAUUUAUCCUAUAUUGUUGUGUCCUAAAAGUAUGUUACCAGCAAUCUUAGCCAACUAUCACUUUAAAGAGUGUGUUAUAUGCCUUAAAAAGUCAAAAUCACAUUAAAGUUAUGCACUGUGUUAACAGGUUGUUGGCUACUAGCUUGUUCAGAGCAUUGCAAUCAACAAUCUACAUGAUCUAAUAUACUCUAUAGCAAGCUGUGGUGGUCUUAUAUGGUAAGUUUUGCCAUCCAAGCACUCGGGUAGAUUAAUAAGAAGGAAGUUUGUGUUGCUCAUGCAAAUUAAUUAGUACCUUCAUAUCCAAAAAUAGAUAUUUAACUAAACAAGAUUCAUACUUAAAUCUGGUCUAUCAUGGACUCAAGACACAAACAUAUGCAUGGCACUCACAUGUAAAAUAAGUGAAACCCACAUGUGAAACAAACUAUACAGUAUGUACGUAUUUGUUAUUCGCCCUACAGUUACUAACAAUUGCCAAAAGGCCCCAUAAAUAUCUAAAGGAACAGGAAACCAACCUGCAAGUCGUAAGUUGGGAACAAUCUUCUUGUAGCAGGCUAAAACUUCUUCAAACCCAUGGCAAGGAGAAUGAUCACUGUGAAAGCUAAAUACUUCUUGAUCAUGAGUGGUGGCAUCACCAAAGCCAAGACAGGGAAUUAAGUUAUCAUCAUCAAAGGGAGCCAAAGUCUUUCCAAUAAUUGAGAUGGCCUUUUCAUAUGGAUUAGGUGUAUCACCAAUGGCAUGCAGGCUACGAUUAUUGAACGAUACUUUC
rnacentral:misc_RNA from 1 species